rnacentral:rRNA from 1 species
GAGGGAAAGGUGAAAAGCACCCCGGGAGGGGAGUGAAACAGUUCCUGAAACCGUGCGCCUACAAUCCGUCGGAGCCUCCUUGGGGGGUGACGGCGUGCCUAUCGAAAAAUGAGUCUGCGAGUCAGUGGUGCGUGGCGAGCGUAAGCCGUGUGGUGUACGCGUAGCGAAGGCGAGUCUUAAAAGGCGUUUGAGUCGCGCGCCUUGGACCCGAAGCGGGAUGAUCUAGCCCUGGGCAGGUUGAAGCGCGGGUAAGACCGCGUGGAGGACCGAACCCACCUGGGUUUAAAACCGGGGGGAUGACCUGGGGCUAGGGGUGAAAGGCCAAUCAAAUUCCGUGAUAGCUGGUUCUCUCCGAAAUGCAUUUAGGUGCAGCGUCGGGUGAUUGCGUCCGGGGGGUAGAGCUACUGGAUGCUUACGGGCCCAUAUCGGGUACCAAUAGCAGCCAAACUCCGAAUACCCGUGGCGUGUAUCCCGGCAGUGAGUCGGCGGGGGAUAAGCUCCGUCGUCGAAAGGGAAACAGCCCAGACCGUCGUCUAAGGUCCCCAAGCGCGUGCUAAGUGGGAAAGGAUGUGGAGUCGCAUAGACAGCCAGGAGGUUGGCUUAGAAGCAGCCACCCUUGAAAGAGUGCGUAACAGCUCACUGGUCUAGUGGUUCCGCGCCGACAAUGUAGCGGGGCUCAAGCACGCCACCGAAGACGCGGCAGCGUUUCGUACGCUGGGUAGGAGAGCGUCCCCUGCGGGGCGAAGCGGCGGAGUAAUCCUGCCGUGGACCGUUGGGGAGUGAGAAUGCAGACAUGAGUAGCGAGAGGCGGGUGAAGAUCCCGCCCGCUGGAUGACCAAGGGUUCCAGGGCCACGUUCAUCGUCCCUGGGUGAGUCGGGUCCUAAGGCGAGGCCGACAGGCGUAGUCGAAUGGAUGAACGGGUCGAUAUUCCCGUACCGGCUUUCAGCCGCCAAAACCGAAAGGGUGAGCACUAACCUCCGCGUCGUCGUCUCCCCGGCCUUCGGGCCUGGGUCGCGGCGUCGUGUUGGGACCGUAGCCCCGGUAGGUCAGCGCAGGAGUGACGCAGAAGGGUAGCCGGCCGCGGAGGUGGUUUUCCGUGGCCAAGCACGCAGCCCGUCCCCCAGGCAAAUCCGGGGGGCAUCAGGGCGAGGUGCGAUGGUGGGGCCCGUAUGGGCCGAAUCCGGUGAUCCCGGCUGCCGAGAAAAGCUUCGGCGUCAGGCUGUCAGCCGCCCGUACCCCAAACCGACACUGGUGGUCAGGUAGAGAAUACCAAAGCGAUCGAGCGAAUCCUGGUCAAGGAACUCGGCAAAUUACUCCCGUGCCUUCGGUAUAAGGGAGACCCCUGCGGGUGAACCAGCUAGCCUGGGGAGCGUGCGGGGGUGGCACAGACCAGGGGGUAGCGACUGUUUACCAAAAACACAGGAGCGUGCGAAGACGUAAGUCGCUGUAUACGCUCUGACGCCUGCCCGGUGCCGGAAGGUUAAGAGGAUCCGUCAUCCCUUCGGGGGGCAGCGGUGAAUUCAAGCCCCGGUAAACGGCGGUGGUAACUAUAACCAUCCUAAGGUAGCGAAAUUCCUUGUCGGGUAAGUU